CGCCGCGUGGAGGAUGAAGUCCCUUGGGAUGUAAACUCCUUUCGAUCGGGACGAUAAUGACGGUACCGGAAGAAGAAGCACCGGCUAACUACUGUGC
rnacentral:rRNA from 1 species